UAGAAAGUGGUGUAGUGGAAGCACAAGGAGUUUUGAUCUCCUAAGCAUGGGGUUCGAGUCCCCUUUUUCUAA
rnacentral:tRNA from 1 species